rnacentral:rRNA from 1 species
CGCGCCGCGGUAAUACAGAGGGUGCGAGCGUUAAUCGGAUUUACUGGGCGUAAAGCGUGCGUAGGCGGCUUCUUAAGUCGGAUGUGAAAUCCCUGAGCUUAACUUAGGAAUUGCAUUCGAUACUGGGAAGCUAGAGUAUGGGAGAGGAUGGUAGAAUUCCAGGUGUAGCGGUGAAAUGCGUAGAGAUCUGGAGGAAUACCGAUGGCGAAGGCAGCCAUCUGGCCUAAUACUGACGCUGAGGUACGAAAGCAUGGGGAGCAAACAGGAUUAGAUACCCCCGUAGUCCCUGUCUCUUAUACAC